GUUUGAUCCUGGCUCAGAACGAACGCUGGCGGCAGGCUUAACACAUGCAAGUCGAGCGCCCCGCAAGGGGAGCGGCAGACGGGUGAGUAACGCGUGGGAAUCUACCCUUUUCUACRGAAUAACGCAGGGAAACUUGUGCUAAUACCGUAUAAGCCCUUCGGGGGAAAGAUUUAUCGGGAAAGGAUGAGCCCGCGUUGGAUUAGCUAGUUGGUGGGGUAAAGGCCUACCAAGGCGACGAUCCAUAGCUGGUCUGAGAGGAUGAUCAGCCACAUUGGGACUGAGACACGGCCCAAACUCCUACGGGAGGCAGCAGUGGGGAAUAUUGGACAAUGGGCGCAAGCCUGAUCCAGCCAUGCCGCGUGAGUGAUGAAGGCCCUAGGGUUGUAAAGCUCUUUCACC
rnacentral:rRNA from 1 species